UACGUAGGGUGCAAGCGUUAAUCGGAAUUACUGGGCGUAAAGCGUGCGCAGGCGGUUUUGUAAGUUCGACGUGAAAGCCCCGGGCUCAACCUGGGAAAUGCGUUGGAGACUACAAAGCUUGAAUCUGGCAGAGGGGGGUAGAAUUCCACGUGUAGCAGUGAAAUGCGUAGAGAUGUGGAGGAACACCGAUGGCGAAGGCAGCCCCCUGGGUCAAGAUUGACGCUCAUGCACGAAAGCUUGGGGAGCAAACAGG
rnacentral:rRNA from 1 species